UGUAGCCACACUACCUUGGUCAUGCCUGAGCUAUGGGUGCUGGGGUGUGGUUAGUAUGAGGAUGGGUGAUCACCUGGGAAUACCAGGGAGCUGUUGCUACAU
rnacentral:rRNA from 1 species